CGCGCCACUGCACUCCAGCCUGGGUGACAGAGUGAGACUCCAUCUCAAAAAACAAAACAAAACAAAACAAAAAAACAGCUAAGACUUUCAACUAAGCAUCAGGAUGGGAGGAGGAGGUGUUGGGGUUUUGAGGAGUGACCUCAGCUGAGCACCUGUUUCCCAAUAAUAACUCCUCCAAUUUGUAUUUGAGGACCCCCAAUGAUGCUCAGAGAGGUUAAGUGAUUUGACCAGGGUCACACAGCUUGAGGGAAUGGGGUAGCUCCAGGAUUGAAGCAGGCCAUUUCAUGCUCUCAGCCAGGUAUGAUUUAGUAAAUACAGAAGCAGAGUACCUUCAUGGUGUCUGGGACAUAGUGAGUGCUCUGUAGCGGGUUGUCAGUG
rnacentral:lncRNA from 1 species